UGAUGUAAUUUUUUUUCAACACAGGGUCUCAAGUAACUCACACUGGCCUCAAACUUGCUCUGUUACUGAAGAUAAUGUGAAGCUGCUGGUCUUUCUACCUCCUGAGCACUGGGAUUAUAGGCUGGUCUCAAACUAGCAUGGAGCUAAGAAUAACCUUCAGCUCCUGAUUGUCCUACCUCCACCUCCUGAGUGCUGGGAUCACAGGCUUGUGAAACCUUACUGGUUCCGUCUCAUUUUCCCAGGAGCAACCUUAACCCCAGAGUGCUAUUGUGGCCAUGGUCUCAUGCAUGCUAGACAAGUGAUCUACCACGGAGCCACACCCAAGUCCUCAGACUUACCAUAUACCUGUAGUUUUUUAAAAUUUUUACAUAUUUUUAUUUUAUGUGUAUGAGUAUUUUGUAUGUCAUU